rnacentral:lncRNA from 1 species
AAUGGUACCAAACCACCACUGGAUGCAGAUGUAAAUUUGGAAGCAAUUGCUGGUGACCUUCGCUGUGAUUGCUAUACGGGCGCAGAUCUCUCUGCUUUGGUACGAGAAGCUUCUAUCUGUGCCCUGAGACAGGAAAUGGCAAGACAGAAGAGUGGAAAUGAAAAAGGCAAAUGGAUCCAUUCGCUGUCUUCAUCAUGAGUCUGGGCUGCUUAUCAAUUCUGGAAAAACGUAUUCUUUUGCUAAGGUGAACUCAAGGUUAGUCAUAAGCAUUUUGAAGAAGCUUUCAAGAAAGUAAGAUCAUCUAUAUCAAAAAAGGAUCAAAUCAUGUAUGAACGUUUGCAGGAGUCCCUCAGCCGGUGAUGUCUCCAGCAGCCGGCUUAGAGGAGCUAGCCCAUCAAGCCGGCAGAGAAUCCCCCACACGCUCUGAAGGACCCACUUUCAGCUGGACACAGGCGCGGCCUCAUGUAAACAUUUUAUUUUCAAAUGAAUGAGGCCAAGCUGAAGCUGAAGCUGAAGAUUCUUCCCAUCUGGCCAGCCUUGUGUGAAAAUGCCUUCUUCCUCUUUAAGAAAAAGGACAAUUUUUAAACUGCUGAAAUAAAAUGACUGUUACAUUUUUCAAAUAAAACUUUUACUUUGAACUAUUUUGACUAUA